ACUCUCCCUCCCCUUCCCUCCCCCACACUCGGCCCCGUCAGCUUGGGGGUGCCUUCGUCGCGCAGCCUCGCGUCGGCCCGGCCCGGCCAGGCCAGCGGGCAGAUGCCCCGAGCUGCCGCCGCCGCCGCCGCCGACUCGGCCGGUGGCGGUGUGGGAGGUGGGCGACCAGCCCGGGGCCGCUGAGUGUGACGGACGCAACUGGGGGCGCCGGGGGCUCCGCACGGACCAUGUAUUUUCUGAGCGGCUGGCCCAAGAGGCUGCUGUGCCCUCUGGGGAGCCCGGCCGAGGCGCCUUUCCACGUUCAGUCCGACCCGCAGAGGGCUUUCUUCGCCGUGCUGGCCGCGGCCCGCCUCAGCAUCUGGUACAGCCGACCUAGUGUGUUAAUUGUAACCUACAAGGAGCCUGCAAAAUCAUCUACUCAGUUUGGAUCCUACAAGCAAGCUGAAUGGAGGCCAGAUAGUACCAUGAUAGCUGUAUCAACGGCAAAUGGAUACAUCUUGUUUUUUCAUAUUACAUCUACAAGAGGGGACAAGUACCUUUAUGAACCAGUGUAUCCCAAAGGAAGUCCACAAAUGAAGGGGACACCCCAUUUUAAGGAAGAACAGUGUGCUCCAGCAUUAAAUUUAGAGAUGAGGAAAAUACUGGAUUUACAAGCACCCAUCAUGAGUUUGCAGUCUGUGUUGGAAGAUCUCCUGGUUGCUACUUCUGAUGGACUUCUUCAUCUUAUUCACUGGGAAGGAAUGACAAAUGGAAGGAAAGCCAUUAAUCUUUGCACAGUACCCUUUUCAGUAGACCUGCAGUCAUCGAGAGUAGGUUCAUUCCUGGGCUUCACAGACGUACACAUCAGAGACAUGGAAUACUGUGCCACACUUGAUGGGUUUGCUGUUGUAUUUAAUGAUGGUAAAGUUGGAUUUAUUACACCAGUGUCAAGUAGAUUUACUGCAGAGCAGCUUCAUGGAGUUUGGCCACAAGAUGUUGUUGACGGAACGUGUGUAGCAGUAAAUAACAAGUAUCGACUAAUGGCAUUUGGCUGUGUGAGUGGUUCUGUGCAGGUCUAUACAAUAGAUAACAGCACUGGAGCCAUGCUGCUAUCUCAUAAAUUAGAGCUAACAGCAAAACAGUAUCCUGACAUUUGGAAUAAAACAGGAGCUGUUAAAUUGAUGAGAUGGUCUCCUGACAAUAGUGUUGUAAUAGUGACCUGGGAAUACGGAGGCCUUUCUUUAUGGAGUGUUUUUGGAGCACAGCUGAUUUGUACACUUGGAGGAGAUUUUGCUUAUAGGUCUGAUGGCACCAAAAAAGAUCCCCUUAAGAUCAACUCUAUGAGCUGGGGUGCAGAAGGCUAUCACUUAUGGGUAAUCAGCGGAUUUGGUUCUCAAAACACUGAAAUUGAGUCUGACCUCAGGAGUGUAGUUAAACAGCCCAGCAUCCUGUUAUUUCAGUUUAUUAAGAGUGUACUCACUGUAAACCCUUGUAUGAGUAACCAAGAGCAGGUGUUGCUUCAGGGUGAGGAUCGCUUGUACUUGAACUGUGGAGAGGCUUCACAAACCCAGAAUCCCAGGAGUUCUUCAACACACUCUGAGCAUAAGCCCAGUCGAGAAAAGAGCCCAUUUGCAGAUGGAGGUUUAGAGUCUCAGGGAUUAAGCACUUUACUUGGACAUCGGCAUUGGCAUGUUGUACAGAUUUCCAGCACCUAUCUAGAGAGCAAUUGGCCUAUACGGUUUUCAGCUAUUGAUAAGCUUGGACAGAAUAUUGCUGUGGUUGGCAAGUUUGGUUUUGCACAUUACUCUUUACUCACCAAAAAAUGGAAACUUUUUGGAAACAUUACCCAGGAGCAAAAUAUGAUCGUGACAGGUGGCUUAGCCUGGUGGAAUGAUUUUAUGGUCCUUGCGUGUUAUAACAUAAAUGACCGUCAAGAAGAGCUUAGAGUAUACUUGCGAACAUCAAAUCUGGACAAUGCCUUUGCUCAUGUCACCAAAGCACAAGCAGAAACAUUACUGCUUAGUGUCUUCCAGGACAUGGUAAUAGUAUUUAGAGCAGACUGUUCAAUAUGCCUUUACAGUAUUGAAAGAAAAUCUGAUGGUCCAAAUACUACUGCUGGUAUUCAAGUUCUUCAGGAGGUUUCCAUGUCACGCUACAUUCCUCACCCUUUCCUGGUGGUAUCUGUCACUCUGACAUCAGUGAGUACAGAGAAUGGAAUCACCUUGAAAAUGCCACAGCAGGCUCGUGGUGCAGAGAGCAUUAUGUUAAACCUGGCAGGACAGCUCAUCAUGAUGCAGAGGGACAGGUCAGGCCCACAGAUCCGGGAGAAGGACAGUAACCCUAAUAACCAAAGGAAACUUCUGCCAUUCUGUCCUCCUGUUGUACUAGCCCAGUCUGUUGAAAAUGUCUGGACAACGUGUCGAGCAAAUAAACAGAAACGUCACCUUCUGGAGGCCCUCUGGCUGAGCUGUGGUGGUGCAGGGAUGAAAGUCUGGCUCCCUCUCUUCCCUAGGGAUCACCGCAAGCCCCAUUCCUUCUUGUCCCAGCGGAUCAUGCUGCCUUUCCACAUCAACAUUUACCCGCUAGCUGUUCUGUUUGAAGAUGCUUUAGUCCUUGGUGCUGUCAAUGACACUUUGCUCUAUGAUUCUUUAUAUACUCGGAACAAUGCUAGAGAACAGCUGGAGGUGCUCUUCCCUUUCUGUGUUGUGGAGAGAACCUCUCAGAUCUACCUCCACCACAUUCUACGUCAACUUCUGGUCAGAAACCUUGGGGAGCAAGCCUUGCUCUUGGCCCAGUCCUGUGCCACAUUACCUUACUUCCCUCAUGUGCUGGAGCUCAUGCUCCAUGAAGUACUGGAAGAAGAAGCUACCUCACGGGAGCCCAUUCCCGACCCUCUGCUUCCCACUGUGGCUAAAUUUAUCACUGAGUUCCCCCUCUUCCUGCAGACAGUUGUCCAUUGUGCCAGGAAGACCGAAUAUGCCCUGUGGAAUUACCUUUUUGCAGCUGUUGGAAACCCUAAGGACUUGUUUGAGGAAUGUUUGAUGGCUCAGGAUUUGGACACAGCUGCCUCUUACCUUAUUAUCUUACAGAAUAUGGAAGUCCCUGCAGUAAGUAGGCAACAUGCUACCCUUCUAUUCAACACAGCACUAGAACAAGGCAAGUGGGACCUUUGUCGACACAUGAUUCGAUUUCUUAAAGCCAUUGGCUCUGGAGAAUCUGAGACACCUCCAUCCACACCCACAGCUCAGGAACCCAGUUCAAGUGGUGGAUUUGAGUUCUUCAGGAAUCGAAGCAUCAGUUUAUCCCAGUCAGCUGAAAAUGUUCCUGCCAGUAAAUUCAGUUUACAGAAAACACUAAGUAUGCCAUCUGGUCCCUCUGGAAAAAGAUGGAGCAAAGACAGUGACUGUGCUGAGAACAUGUAUAUUGACAUGAUGCUCUGGAGACAUGCUCGGCGCCUCUUAGAAGAUGUGAGGUUAAAGGACCUUGGCUGCUUUGCAGCCCAGCUGGGCUUUGAACUAAUUAGUUGGCUAUGCAAGGAACGUACCCGAGCUGCCCGGGUAGACAACUUUGUAAUAGCCCUGAAGAGACUCCACAAAGAUUUCCUGUGGCCACUUCCAAUCAUCCCAGCCUCUUCUAUCAGUUCUCCUUUCAAAAAUGGAAAAUACCGAACUGUGGGAGAGCAGCUGUUAAAGUCUCAAUCAGCUGACCCAUUUUUAAACCUUGAGAUGGAUGCUGGCAUCUCCCACAUCCAGCGAAGUCAGAGCUGGCUCAGCAACAUUGGCCCCACCCAUCAUGAGACAGACACAGCUUCAUCCCAUGGACCACAAAUGCAAGAUGCCUUCUUGUCACCUUUAUCUAAUAAAGGUGAUGAAUGCAGUAUUGGUUCAGCCACAGACUUGACUGAAAGUAGCUCCAUGGUGGAUGGCGACUGGACAAUGGUGGAUGAAAAUUUCUCUACACUCAGUUUAACUCAGUCAGAGCUGGAGCACAUUUCCAUGGAGUUGGCCAGUAAAGGGCCUCAUAAAUCCCAGGUCCAGCUUCGGUAUUUGCUACACAUUUUCAUGGAGGCAGGGUGCCUAGACUGGUGCAUCGUUAUAGGCCUGAUUCUUAGAGAAUCCUCAAUAAUCAAUCAGAUUUUGGUUAUUACACAGUCUUCAGAGGUAGAUGGAGAGAUGUUACAGAACAUAAAGACAGGGCUCCAUGCAGUGGACCGAUGGGCCUCUACAGACUGUCCUGGAUAUAAGCCAUUUUUAAACAUCAUUAAGCCACAACUGCAGAAGCUCAGUGAGAUAACAGAAGAGCAGGUCCAGCCAGAUGCCUUCCAACCAAUAACUAUGGGUAAGACUCCAGAACAGACUAGCCCCCGGGCAGAGGAGAGCAGGGGCUCCUCCAGCCAUGGAAGCAUCCCCCAGGGUGAAGUUGGAAGCAGCAAUAUGGUCAGCCGGAAAGAGGAGGACACAGCCCAAGCAGAGGAGGAAGAACCUUUUCGGGAUGGGACUUACGACUGUUCUGUGUCCUAACAGUGAGGUUCCAUCACAAAGGGGCAGUAUUAAUUAGCAGCAGCGUGCAACUCAGUACGUUGUAACAUAGUUGGAUGAUUUAACAGAACUCAGUUCAGAGACUCUUUGAUUUAGAAUGACAGCAUCAAGAGUUGGCAACAUCCUAGAUGGCUGACAGUAAAAUACUGGAGGAAACAGCCCAUGUCGAUGACAUGGAAAAUGUUCAAAAUAUAAUGAAGGAAUGACAGAAAAUUAUGUAUACCUUAAGAUACCUACCAAGCAAACAAAAUUUUACAUUUAUAUCUCCUACAUUUAGGUCUUUGAUCCACUUUGAGUUAAUCUUCAUAUAUGAUAUGAAAGAGAGAUCUGACUUCAUUCUUCUAACAUGUGGCUAUUCAAUUGUCAGAGCACCAUUUAUGGAAAGGAUUUUUUUCCCAUUGUCAAAAAUCAACUAUAGAGGUAUGGGUUUAUUUAUAGAUUCUUAAUUGUAUUCUAAUGAUCUAUAAUAUCUUCUUAUGCCAAUACCACAUUGCCUUGAUUUCUGUUGCUUUGUAGGAAAUUUUGAAAGUGAGAGUCCUAAGUUUGUUUUUUCUAGGCUGUUUUGGCUAUUCUAGGUCCCUUGUAUUUCCAUAUGAAUUGCAGGAUCAGCUUGUCAAUUUCUAUACUAAAAUAAAGGCAGUUGGGAUUUUCAUAAGCGUUGUAUUCAUGACAUAAAGCAAUGUGGAGAAUAUUGCCAUAUUAAGCCUUCCAGUCCAUGAACAUGAGAUGUCUUUCCAUUUAUUGGGUUUUUAAUGUCUUUUAACAGUGGAUUAUAAUUUUUGCUAAGUCUCAUACUUUUGUUAGAUUUAUUUCUAAGUAAGUAUUGCUACUGCAAAAAAAUGGAAUUUCCUGUUUUUGGAUUGUGUAUAUAAAUACAAUUGCUUCUGUAUAUUGACAUUGCAUCAUGCAACAUCAAACAUUUUCUUUUUUGUGGAUUCCUUAGGAUUUUCUACAUUGAAGGUCAUGUUGUUUGCAACCAGAGAUAGUUUGAACUCUUCCUUUUCAAUCUGGAUGCCUUUUCUUUCUUUCUCCUGCCAAACUGUCCUGGCUAGAGCCACUAGUACAAUGCUUAUUAGGUGGCAAUAGUGGAUAUCCUUGUCUUCUGAUCUUAGGGAGAAGCUUUCUCUCAUCACUAAUUAUGAUGCUAGCUGUGGGUUUUUUAUUGAUAAGCUUUAUCUGGUUGAGGAUGUUGCCUUCUGUAUAGUUUGUCUUUUACAAAAUCCAAAUCCCUUCCAUGAUAAAAACACUCAACAAACAAACAUACAUUGCAUCUACUGAAGUAGUCAUGUGGUUUUUGUCCUUUAUUCUAUUAAUAUGGUACAUUACACUGAUUUUCAAAUGUUUUUAAGACAGAGUUUUGCUCUGUCACCCAUGCUGGAAGGAAGUGGCGCAGUCAUGGCUUGCUGCAGCCUCAAGCCAUGACCUCCUGAGCUCAAGCCAUCCUCCUACCUCAGUUUCUAUAGUAGUUGGGCCCACAAGCACACACCACCAUGCCCUGCUAAAUUUUGUGUUUUUAGUAGAGUCAGGGUUUUGCCAUGUUGUCCAGGCCAGUCUCAAACUCCUGGGCUUAAGCAAUCCACCCACCUCGGCCUCCCAAAGUGCUGAAAUUAAGCAUGUGCCACCGCACCUGGCCAACUUUCUGUUAAACCAACCUUGCAUUCCUGGCAUAAAUUCCAUUUGGUCAUGCUGUAGAGCCAAAUUGGAGAAAAAAGAAAUUAUUACCAACAUGUUAUGUUUUUACAAGUCAAAUAUGGAAGUAUAAGUGUCAAAAAAUACACUGAGACACUCCAAAAAUCCCUACGUAUUUCAACUAAAAAGAGACAUUAAGAGCCAUAACUGGGAUUGCUGGCAAGAUGGCUGAAUAGGAACAGCUCUGGUCUGCAGCUCCCAGCGAGAUCGACACAGAAGGCGGGUGAUUUCUGCAUUUGCAGCUGAGGUACCUGGUUCAUCUCACUGGGACUGGUUGGACAGUGGGUGCAGCCCUGUGAGGGUAAGCCAAAGCCAGGGUAGUUUGUUGCCUCACCUGGGAAGCGCAAGGGGUCGGGGAACGCCUUCUCCCAGCCAAGGGAAGCCAUUAGGGACUGUUAGGGACUGUAUCUUGCAAUCCAGCCCAGAUAGAUACUGUGCUUUUCCCACAGUCUUUGCAACCCACAGACCAGAAGAUUCCCUCCAGUGCCCACGCCACCAGGGCCCUGGGUUUCCAGUACAAAACUGGAUGGCUGUUUUGGGCAGACACAAAGCUAGCCGCGGUUUUUUUUCCAUACCCCAGUGGCACCUGAAACACCAGUCAGAACCAUUCACUCCCCUGGAAAGGGGGCUGAAGCCAGGGAGCCAAGUGGUCUGGUUCGGUGGGUCCCACCCCUACAGAGCCCAGCAAGCUAAGAUCCACUGGCUUGAAAUUCUUGCUGCUGGCACAGCAGUCUGAGCUUGACCUGGGAUGCUCCAACAUGGGGGGGGAGGGGCAUCCACCAUUGCUGAGGCUUGAGUAGGCAGUUUUACCCUCACAGUGUAAACAAACAAAGCCACUGGGAAGUUCAAAAUGGGUGGAGCCCACUGCAGUUCAGCAAGGCAACUGCAGCCAGAUUGCCUCUCUAGAUUCCCUCCUCUCUGGGCAGGGCAACUCUGAAAAAAAGGCAGCCCCAGUCAGGGACUAACAGAUAAAACCCCCACCUCCCUGGGACAGAGCACUUUGGACAAAGGGCAGUUGUGGGCGCAGCUUCAGCGGACUUAUUUAAACGUCCCUGCCUGGCAGCUCUGAAGAGAGCAGCGGAUCUCCCAGCACAGCAUUUGAACUCUGAUAAAGGACAGAUUAACUCAUCAAGUGGGUCCUCCCAGUAGGUGCCAACAGACACCUCAUACAGGAGAGCUCUAGCUGGCAUCUGGCGGGUACCCCUGUAGGACGAAGCUUCCAGAGGAAGGAACAGGCAGCAAUCUUUGCUGUUCUGCAGCCUUCACCAGUGAUACCCAGGCACACAGGGUCUGGACUGGACCUCAAGUCAACUCCAGCCAACCUGCAGCAGAGGGCCUGAAUGUAAGAAGGAAAACCACCAAACAGAAAGGAAUACUAUCAACAUCAACAAAAAGGACGUCCACUCAAGAGAACCCAGCUGAAGGUCACCAACUUCAAAGGUAGAUAAAUCCACGAAGAUGAGGAGAAAACAGCACAAAAAGGCUGAAAAUUCCAAAAAGCAGAUCACCUCUUCUCCUCCAAAGGAUCACAACUCCUUGCCAGCAAGGGAACAGAACUGGACAGAGAAUGAGUUUGACAAAUUGACAGAAGUAAGCUUCAGAAGGUGGGUAAUAACAAACUCCUCCAAGCUAAAGGAGUGUAUGUUCUAACCCAAUGGAAGGAAGCUAAGAACCUUGAAAAAAGGUUAGACGAAUUGCUAACUAGAAUAACUAGUUUACAGAAGAAUAUAAAUGACCUGAUAGAGCUGAAAACAACAGCACGAGAACUUCAUAAAGCAUACACAGGUAUCAAUAGCCGAAUUGAUCAAGUGGAAGAAAGGAUAUCAGAGACUGAAGAUCAACUCAAUGAAAUAAAGCAAGAAGUCAAGAUUAGAGAAAAAAGAGUGAAAAGAAACAAACAAAGCCUCCAAGAAAUAUGGGACUACGUGAAAAGGCCAAAUCUACAUUUGAUUGGUGUACCUGAAAGCAACAGGGAGAAUGGAACCAAGUUGGAAAACACUCUUCAGGAUAUUAUUUAGGAGAACUUCCCCAACCUAGCAAGGCAGGCCAACAUUCAAUUCAAGGCAGGCCAACAUUCAAUUCAGGAAAUACAGAGAAUGCCACAAAGAUACUCCUCGAGAAGAGCAACCCCAAGACAGAAUCAUCAGAUUCACCAAGGUUGAAAUGAAGGAAAAAAUACUAAUGGCAGCCAGAGAGAGAGGUCGGGUUACCCACAAAGGGAAGCCCAUCAGCCUAACAGUGGAUCUCUCAGCAGAAACUCUACAAGCCAGAAGAGAGUGGGGGCCCAUAUUCAACAUUCUUAAAGAAUUUUCAACCCAGAAUUUCAUACCCAGCCAAACCAAGCUUCAUAAGCAAAGGAGAAAUAAAGUCCUUUACAGACAAGCAAAUGCUGAAAUGUUUGUUUGUCACCACCAGGCCUGCCUUACAAGAGUUCCUGAAGGAAGCACUAAACAUGGAAAUGAACAACCAGUACCAGCCAUUGCAAAAACAUACCAAAUUGUAAAGGCCAUUGAUGGUAUGAAGAAACUGCAUCAACUAACGGGCAGAAUAACCAGCCAGCAUGAUAAUGGCAGGAUCAAAUUCACACAUAACAACAUUAACCUUAAAUAUAAAUGCGCUAAAUGCCCCAAUUAAAAGACAUAGACUGGCAAACUGGACAAAGAGUCAAGACCCAUCAGUGUGGUGUAUUCAGGAGAUGCAUCUCACAUGCAAAGACACACACAUGCUCAAAAUAAAGGGAUGAAGGAAUAUUUACCAAGCAAAUGAAAUGAAAA